UUCCACAUAAUUCUUGAACCAUUCUCUGGCCUUCUUGCAUUUUAAUGUGAAACCUGCCAUCUCAAUGGCCCGACUAUCAUCAGCUCCCAACUCACUGGUUAUCAUCCUAACUGAUCUGAGGUAUUCAAAUGGAUCAUCUCCCGUAUUAUACUUAGGAGCAUCCAAUUUCAAGUACUCCGUCAUUUGUACCUUACCUCCAGAUGAGCUAGGUUGAUGUCUGUCAACAACAGGAGCUACUGGUUCUGGUGGUGGUACUGGCUCAUUUG
rnacentral:lncRNA from 1 species